rnacentral:lncRNA from 1 species
GUAUUUAUAAAUGUGCCAUUUCAUUUUCAAAUUUCAUAAAAUUUUACAACAAUUUUAAACAUUAUGAUAAGAGAAUGUUCUAGUAACAAAUAUAAUGUAUAAUUAUUUAGUUAUUUAAUAUAUAAGGGGGGUGUCAGAAUGAAAAAAGUAAUGAGUAUAGUAAGAUGAUAGUAGGCCAGAGCUAAAAUAUUUUCGUUAAGUGUGAAAGAAUGAUGUCAUGCAAUAUUCAAAUAGAAUGUUUGAAAGCAUAGGCAAAACUUUUAUUUUCUGUCCAGUUGGAAAACAGUGGCAUUUAUGAUUGCAUAUUCUUCAAAAGAAGAGUAGCAUCAAUGCAGAUAACUAAUAGAAAAAAAAAACAAUAUUUUGUUGUCUCUUAUCACUUGGGUAAAUUCUUCUUUUCACUCAUAGGAGAUACUUCUGACAUCUUUAUCUUUAUGAAAGGAAUUGAGAGCAUAUGGUUUAAUCCUUUAAAUAAUGAAAGGCAGAAUAAGAAUAAUACAAGAAAAUAUAAAGGAAGAAGGAAGAAAUGUUGCUAGAAGUUUGCUAGGUUACCUAUAGAAGAAAGAAUAUAUCUAGUUGUCUCAAGAAAUGCAGGCUAGAUGGAGUGAAUUCUGUUUCUAUCUACAGAGGAAAGAUUUCUGAUAUUAAGAAUAAAGUUUAUCAUAUCAAAUGAAAACAUAACAUCACUUGUGAUAUACAACAUGAAAUAUCAUUUUUAUAAACAUUGCAUUAAUAUUCCAUAAUUUUAUUAAAAAGUUUAAUAUUUUGAUAAAUUGCAGCAUUUUUAUCAUAUUUAAAAGUAGUUACUUGAAAUUUUUAGAAUAUCAUCCUAUCAUGUGUUCAGUUGCU